CAGGAAAUUCCAUGCUCCCAAAGCCAAGCGGGUCCUUCAGGAGGCGCCGGGAGCUGCUGGCUCGGCCGUGCCCAUUCCUUCCCAGAGCAGUGAUCCCGAUGGAGAUCCUGCCAGGAUGGACACCCCGGCAAGCGAGGACGGCGAGGCGGAUCCAAAAGGAAUCCCCGUGGGAGAGCACGGAGCUGGAUCCCCACAGGAGGAGAGAGACAAGGAAAUCAGAGGUGGUGGAGCACCAGAAUCACCGGAACAGGGCGUUUCCGAUGAGAUGGAAGAGAAACAUCUGGAAUUGCCCCAGCUGGG